rnacentral:rRNA from 1 species
AUUGAACGCUGGCGGCAGGCCUAACACAUGCAAGUCGAACGAGUGGCGGACGGGUGAGUAAUGUCUGGGAAACUGCCCGAUGGAGGGGGAUAACUACUGGAAACGGUAGCUAAUACCGCAUACCAUCGGAUGUGCCCAUAUGGGCUGAGCUUGUAGGUGAGGUAACGGCUAACCUAGGCGACGAUCCCUAGCUGGUCUGCGAGGAGGACCAGACGCACUGGAACUGUGACACGGGCCAGACGCCUACGGGAGGCAGCAGGGGGGAAUAUUGCACAAUGGGCGCAAUCCUGAUGCAGCCAUGCCGCGUGGAUGAAGAAGGCCUUCGGGUUGUAAAGUACUUUCAGCGGGGAGGCGUGACCAGCAGAAGAAGCACCGGCUAACUCCGUGCCAGACGCCGCUGUAAUUC